GUGGCAUGUCGCAUUCAUAAAAUUGCCUGUUUGGCCACGGAAAUGUUUGAUAUAGCUCGCGGGAGGCUAAGAACCGCUUUAAGGUGCUCCGCGGACAAAAACACGUGUGGCGGAACGCGGACAUAAAAAUGAUCGUUGGGCCAUGAAAACGUGUGCUAUAGCUCACGGGAGGCCAAAACAGCCUUACCAGUCUAAAUGGUCAAAUCAUGGGUGGCGGACGGGAGGCACGAAAUCGCUAUUCGACGACAAAAACAUGUGUCACGGGAGGCCCUAAACCCUAAACCCUAAACCCUACAGCUUGUGGGAGGCCAAGAACAACUUUAAGGUGCUCUGGGGACCAAAACGCGGGUGGUGGAACACGUACUUAAAAAUGGUCGCUCGACCAUGAAAAUGUGUGACAUAGCUUAUGGGAGGCCAUAAACAGCCUUAGCAGUCUCAGUGGCCAAAUCAUGGGUGGCGGACGGGAGGCAUGAAAUCGUUGUUUGACGAUGAAAAAAUGUGUGACGGGAGGCCAAAAAUAGCCUUACCGGCCUCCAGGGACCAAAAUUUGUACUAUGGUUUGGACACUAAAAUUCUACUGUGUCAGCAAAGUUGAUAUGGUUGGGAGACUCAAAUUUCAUUUUACCAUGGUUUCGACACUAAAAUCCUUUAGUGUCGAUGUUUAGGUUUAGGGUUUAGGGAUAGGAUUUAGGGUCUAGGUUUCCAUAAAAUCGUGUGCUAUAGCUCACGGGUGGCAAAAAAAUGCCAUAACAGCCUCCCUAGUCUAAAACGAAGGUGGCAGGUCGGAUACAUAAAAUUGGCUGUUUGGCCACGGAAAUGUGUGAUAUAGCUCGCGGGAGGCCAAGAACCGCUUUAAGGUGCUCCGGGGACAAAAACACGUGUGGCGGAACGCGGACAUAAAAAUGGUCGCUGGGCCAUGAAAACAUGUGCUAUAGCUCACGGGAGGCCGAAACAGCCUUACCAAUCUCAAUGGUCAAAUCAUGGGUGGCGGACGGGAGGCACGAAAUCGCUGUUCGACGACAAAAACAUGUGUCACGGGAGGCCCUAAAACCUAAACCCUAAACCCUACAGCUCGUGGGAGGCCAAGAACAACUUUAAGGUGCUCUGGGGACCAAAACGCGGGUGGUGGAACACGUACUUAAAAAUGGUCGCUCGACCAUGAAAACGUGUGCUAUAGCUUACGGGAGGCAUGAAACCGUUGUUUGACGAUGAAAACAUGUGUCACGGGAGGCCAAAAAUAGCCUUACCGGCCUCAGGCGACGAAAACGUGUACUAUGGUUUGGACACUAAAAUUCUACUAUGUCAGCAAAGUUGAUAUGGUUGGGAGACUCAAAUUUCAUUUUACCAUGGUUUCGACACUAAAAUCCUUUAGUGUCAAUGUUUAGGUUUAGGUUUAAGGAUAGGAUUUAGGGUCUAGGUUUCCAUGAAAUCGUGUGCUAUAGCUCACGGGUGGCAAAAAAAUGCCAUAACGGCCUCCCCGGUCUAAAACGAAGGUGGUAGGUCGGAUACAUAAAAUUGGCUGUUUGGCCACGGAAAUGUGUGAUAUAGCUUGCGGGAGGCCAAGAACCGCUUUAAGGUGCUCCGAGGGACAAAAACACGUGUGGCGGAAUGCGGACAUAAAAAUGGUCGCUCGGCCAUGAAAACGUGUGAUAUAGCUCACGGGAGGCCAAAACAGCCUUACCAGUCUCAAUGGUCAAAUCAUGGGUGGCGGACGGGAGGCACGAAAUCACUGUUCGACGACAAAAACAUGUGUCACGGGAGGCCAAAAUAGCCUUACGGGCCUCCGGGGACUAAAACGUGUAC
rnacentral:lncRNA from 1 species